AUACGGAGGGUGCAAGCGUUACUCGGAAUCACUGGGCGUAAAGCGCGCGCAGGCGGCUAUUUAAGUUGGAUGUGAAAGCCUACGGCUCAACCGUAGAACUGCAUCCAAAACUAUUUAGCUAGAGUGUUGGAGAGGAAGAUGGAAUUAGUUGUGUAGGGGUAAAAUCCGUAGAGAUAACUAGGAAUACCAAAAGCGAGGGCAAUCUUCUGGAACACUACUGACGCUGAGGCGCGAAAGCGUGGGGAGCAAACGGGAUUAGAAACCCUAGUAGUCC
rnacentral:rRNA from 1 species